rnacentral:misc_RNA from 1 species
AUCCAAACCUGCUUUGAUGGCAUCGGCAGCAGCUUCUUCAGGAGUUGAUGUAUAGUGUUGCUGAUCGAAUAAACACCAACUGAAUCACAAUCUGAAACAAUAUACCUGUGAAUAACAUUGCAAGAGAUGAUUUGAUGAAAAUCAGAAUGUAUAACGAUAUUCAUGAUAAUAGCAAGAUUGUUACCCAUUGAGUGCGAAGAGUCUUCCGCAGCAGAUUGGGGUCAGCACAAGUGGGGAUGCCAUUUACCUGGUUAUAGGAGCAUAUCACACUCGCUACCUUUCCCUCCUUCACACACAUCUUCAACGGUACAUCAAAUGUGUCCUCCAUGUCCUGCUUGCUUACCUGUUUCUCAAGCCAUCUUUUCUUUUCAAAAAUUUCAUUAAGAAAAAACAAACAAGUUGAAGAGCCACAGUGAAAAUGUAACUUGGCAUUGAAGUGAAAGCGAUCCACUCCAUUCCAAUUAUCG